CGUUAUGGUCAUUUGCGCUCGGCAAACCUACAGAAAACAGUUUUUUUUAUUUUUAUUUUCCAAUCCACCUGAUCAAACAAUAAAAAUCACACACAUAUAUAUAUGUUAUCCAGACCAUAGAUACAACCACUGGCACAUUCACCACAACAAGCACAACAUAUAUAGCACAAAUGUCACAAGUUCACAUCCACAAGUUCACAAAGUGCGGCUCAAGUUCACAAAGUGCAUAGUUGUCUCCACAAGUUCACAACACAAGUUCACAACAAGCACUACCACUGCAUCUCAAGACGUUGGGGCUCCGCCUGGUGGGUACUGAACGCCUGGUGAGGGUAUGCCUUCUGCAAUUGCUGCAGGAGUAGGAUUCGAACCCGCCGACUGUUGCUGCAAAACAAAAAGAUCCGCUUAAAUUUGUCAGAAAGAAUUUGUGCAAAGAAGCGAAAGCAAUCGAUUUAUUAUACUCACAGGAGUAGGUAGAACAGGCACCGGCAAAGGGAGGGGAUGGAGGAGCUCUGGUGGCAAGGACAAACCGGACUUCUCGCCAACAGCUGCUAGGAACUUCGUUAGUUCCUCUAGCCUUGUUUGCUGCAUUGCCAGCGCCGCAUUCUGGGCCUCCACCGUCGCACUUGUGGCCACAAGCUUCGCGUCUGUCUCCUCACGCUGCUUCUUCUCAUUUUGUAGCUCGGCCUACAACAGAUAGUACCAAAGUUUCAGUUUUCCAAACGUAACUAAGGUGUAAAUAUUAAUGGACAGCAAGUCACCCUUGACUAACCUGGAGUGCAUC
rnacentral:lncRNA from 1 species